rnacentral:rRNA from 1 species
GGACUACCAGGGUAUCUAAUCCUGUUUGAUCCCCACGCUUUCGUGCCUCAGUGUCAGUAACUCCUUAGUAAGCUGCCUUCGCAAUCGGUGUUCUUGAUAAUAUCUAUGCAUUUCACCGCUACACUAUCAAUUCCGCCUACCUCAUCAGUACUCAAGCCCUACAGUAUCAAUGGCAGUCCUACAGUUAAGCUGCAGGCUUUCACCACUGACUUAUAAGGCCACCUACGCACCCUUUAAACCCAAUAAAUCCGGACAACGCUUGCACCCUCCGUAUUACCGCGGCUGCUGGCAC